GACGAACGCUGGCGGCGUGCCUAAUACAUGCAAGUAGAACGCUGAAGGAGGAGCUUGCUUCUCUGGAUGAGUUGCGAACGGGUGAGUAACGCGUAGGUAACCUGCCUGGUAGCGGGGGAUAACUAUUGGAAACGAUAGCUAAUACCGCAUAAUAGCAGUUGCUGCAUGACAACUGUUUGAAAGGUGCAAUUGCACCACUACCAGAUGGACCUGCGUUGUAUUAGCUAGUUGGUGGGGUAACGGCUCACCAAGGCGACGAUACAUAGCCGACCUGAGAGGGUGAUCGGCCACACUGGGACUGAGACACGGCCCAGACUCCUACGGGAGGCAGCAGUAGGGAAUCUUCGGCAAUGGACGGAAGUCUGACCGAGCAACGCCGCGUGAGUGAAGAAGGUUUUCGGAUCGUAAAGCUCUGUUGUAAGAGAAGAACGAGUGUGAGAGUGGAAAGUUCACACUGUGACGGUAGCUUACCAGAAAGGGACGGCUAACUACGUG
rnacentral:rRNA from 1 species